rnacentral:rRNA from 1 species
AAUGAACGCUGGCGGCGCGCCUAAUACAUGCAAGUCGAGCGAGAAGACGUAGCAAUACGUUUGUAAAGCGGCGAACGGGUGAGGAAUACAUGGGUAACCUACCCUCGAGUGGGGAAUAACUAGCCGAAAGGUUAGCUAAUACCGCGUACGCUCCUUGGACUUCGGUCCAGGGAGGAAAGCGAUACCGUGGGUAUCGCGCUCUUGGUUGGGCUCAUGUCCUAUCAGCUUGUUGGUGAGGAACGGCUCACCAAGGCUUCGACGGGUAGCUGGUCUGAGAGGACGAUCAGCCACACUGGCACUGCGACACGGGCCAGACUCCUACGGGAGGCAGCAGUAAGGAAUAUUGCGCAAUGGGCGAAAGCCUGACGCAGCGACGCCGCGUGGGGGAGUGAGGGGUC